CACGGAGUUAGCCGAUGCUUAUUCGUAAGGUACCGUCAUCAAAGUACACGUACUCCUUAUUCUUCCCUUACAAAAGCAGUUUACAAUCCAUAGGACCUUCAUCCUGCACGCGGCAUGGCUGGAUCAGUCUUCCGACCAUUGUCCAAUAUUCCUCACUGCUGCCUCCCGUAGGAGUCUGGUCCGUAUCUCAGUACCAGUGUGGGGGACAUCCCUCUCAGAACCCCUAUCUAUCGUCGCCUUGGGGAGCCGUUACCUCUCCAACUAGCUAAUAGAACGCAUACUCAUCUUUCACCACCGUAGCUUUAAUAUAAAACGAUGCGCUCUUAUAUACCAUUAGUAUUAAUCCAAAUUUCUUCGGCUAUCCUAUGUGAAAGGCAGAUUGUAUACGCGUUACGCACCCGUGCGCCGGUUUCAGUUACCCGAAGGUAACCUCUCCCUCGACUUGCAUGUGUUAGGCCUGCCGCUAGCGUUCAUCCUGAGCCAGGAUCAAACUCU
rnacentral:rRNA from 1 species